CGAUCGCCUCCCCCGCCGCAGCCGGAGCGGGGGACCAGCCUCCCGGCUCCCCGCAGGGGCAGGAUGGAGAAGAGCCCAAGCGCUGACGAUUACAUAAAUUGUGUGGCUCUUCCCUGAUGCUCCAUAAAUGGCCACUGGUCCCAAAUUAGCAUGUGGGUACUAUGACUGAAGAAUAUGAAGUCCUUAGUUAUAACUGUAACAGAGUUCCACAGCAUUUAAAUAAAUUUCUUCUGGGUGAGACAGUUUUAAAGACA